UUUACCUGGCUUUACCUUAUUAAACGCAAAUCUGAUGUGUUUGAUAUUUUUGUUCAGUUUCAAAAACAUGUUGAACGUCUUCUCAAGCACAAAAUUGUUCAUGUCCAGUCGGACUGGGGGGGCGAGUAUCGCAACCUCAACUCCUUCUUUCAGUCGCUUGGGAUAGCUCAUCGUUUAGCAUGUCCACGUACACAUCAGCAGAAUGGUUCAGUCGAACGUAAGCAUCGUCAUAUUGUUGAAGCUGGUCUUACUCUUUUGGCCCAUGCAUCUGUUCCGUUUCGGUUUUGGAGUGAUGCUUUCACCACUGCAUGCUUUCUCAUCAACCGUACUCCCACUCGUGUUUUAAACAUGAAGACUCCCAUUGAGGUUCUCCUUAAUGAACAACCUGAUUAUACCUUUUUCAAGGUAUUUGGGUGUGCUUGCUGGCCGCAUCUUCGUCCAUAUAAUAAGCGCAAGCUUGAGUUUCGUUCUAAGAAGUGUGUUUUUCUUGGCUAUAGCUCUCUUCAUAAAGUUUACAAAUGUCUUCAUGUUCCCACUAAUCGUGUCUAUAUAUCUCGGGACGUCGUGUUUGAUGAGCAUGUUUUUCCUUUUGCCAAACUUCCUGUGUCCACUGUCGAACCACCAUCUCUGCAUUCAUCCUCUGUUGCUUUUGACCAAUUUGAUGAUGUUGCAUACUCUCCUUUGCUGUUACCUAAC
rnacentral:rRNA from 1 species